rnacentral:tRNA from 1 species
GGCCGGGAUAGCUCAGUUGGUAGAGCAGAGGACUGAAAA